UACGUAGGGGGCAAGCGUUGUCCGGAUUUAUUGGGCGUAAAGAGCUCGUAGGCGGUUGGGCAAGUCACGUGUGAAAUCUCCACGCUCAACGUGGAGGCGCCACGUGAGACUGCCCUGACUCGAGUCCGGUAGGGGAGCGUGGAAUUCCCGGUGUAGCGGUGAAGUGCGCAGAGAUCGGGAGGAACACCCGUAGCGAAGGCGGCGCUCUGGGCCGGUACUGACGCUGAGGAGCGAAAGCGUGGGGAGCAAACAGG
rnacentral:rRNA from 1 species